UACGUAGGGUGCAAGCGUUAAUCGGAAUUACUGGGCGUAAAGCGUGCGCAGGCGGUUGUGCAAGACAGAUGUGAAAUCCCCGGGCUCAACCUGGGAACUGCAUUGUGACUGCACGGCUGGAGUGCGGCAGAGGGGGAUGGAAUUCCGCGUGUAGCAGUGAAAUGCGUAGAUAUGCGGAGGAACACCGAUGGCGAAGGCAAUCCCCUGGGCCUGCACUGACGCUCAUGCACGAAAGCGUGGGGAGCAAACAGG
rnacentral:rRNA from 1 species